GAGAGAAGACAGAAAAUGGGAAAAAUCUAAUAAAAUAAUACUAAGUAAACAAAAUUCAGAAUGUGUGAACAAUUUUUAUGGUGCAAACUGACAAGAGAACACUAUAUAUUACUAUCAAUACUAAAGAACAUUAGCUCAUUCUUUUUUGCAAAUUCUUUAUUUUUCUCUUCUCUUGAUAUAUAUGAAAGAGAUCGGUGGUGGUGGUGGUGGUGGUUGUUGUUAAUAAUAACAACAACAACCACCACUAAAGGUCUCUUUCACAUAUAUCAAGGUUUCUGGUUCAAAUCUGAAAUAAUCCCCUUAUAUUUAUUUAAUAUGAUUUUAGAUUUUGGCAUGCAUAUUCAAUGUACUUAAUGUACUCUUCUUCUCUUGAGAC
rnacentral:lncRNA from 1 species